CUCCUUUUUAGAGAAAAACGACUCUCUUAUAAUAUUCGUUGGUUUAAUUGGGCUGCUGCAUCAUUCUUCUUUUUUUUUUUUUCCGUCCUUAUCUAGUCCUGUAGCUCAGUUGGUUAGAGCACUACACUGAUAAUGUAGGGGUCAGCAGUUCAAAUCUGCUCAGGACUACGGUGAAGAUGGGGGAUUAGCUCAGCUGGCUAGAGCGCCUGCCUUGCACGCAGGAGGUCAUCGGUUCGACUCCGAUAUUCUCCACUAAAAAGAAGUUCUUUGACGUACUGGUAGAAGAUAGAGUAAAUCAUAAGCAACAAAGGGCAGUUGGCGGAUGCCUAGGCUCUCAAUAGCGAUGAAGGACGUGAUAAGCUGCGAUAAGCCAUACUGAGAUGCAAAUAAUCGUUUAAGUAUGGAUUUCCGAAUGGGG
rnacentral:misc_RNA from 1 species